GGGGGCGUUCCGGCUUCGACGGGGAACACAAGCGGUUCUUGGGUAGCGUGUCGCACGUUCCGCACGUACGCGGAAAACACACCUGCCAACGACAACUUGGCUCUGGCGGCUUAACCCCCGCCAGCGCGGCGACGGAAGCCUUGAUUCACGGCGUCUGCCGUUCGCGUCGCUAAAGUGAAUCAAACGGCGCAGUACGCCUCGGGCUGCGCCCGGAUCCACACGAGGCUGGCCGCACGCGCGGAUCGUCCCGGUUCCAAACGCGCGCGGCGAGACCCCCAAACCAGGACUACGCACGUAGAAGCCCUCGAGACGCGUUCUCCGGACGCGGGUUCGAUUCCCGCCGCCUCCACCA
rnacentral:tmRNA from 1 species